rnacentral:rRNA from 1 species
ACAUGGAAUGCAUGGAGAUGCAGAGUAGAUCUGCAGAGGGAGUAGAUUCCAGCGUGCAUGAAAGCGUAGAUAUGGGAGCACACCAUGCGAGCAGCCCUGGUCAAGAUGAGGUCAACACGAAGCGGGGACGCAAACAGGUUCGUACCGUGCUAGUCCACACCGUAUCGAUUCUAGUAGUGUCGGGUCUUAAUUGACUUGGAACGCAGUAACGCGUGAAGUACCCGCGUGGGGAGUACCUCGCAAGAUUCAACUCAAAGGAAUGACGGGGACCCGCACAAGCGGCGGAUGAUGUGGAUUAAUUCGAUGCAACGCGCAAAACCUUACCUACCCUUGACAUGGCUGGAAUCCUUGAGAGAUCAGGCAUUGCUCGACAGAGAGCCAGUACACAGGUGCUGCAUGGCAGUCGUCAGCUCGUGUCGUGAGAUGUUGGGCUAAGUCCCGCAACGACCGCAACCCUUGUCAUUAGCUGGUACGAAAGGGCACUCUAAUGAGACUGCCGGUGACAAACCGGAGGAAGGUGGGGAUGACGUCAAGUCCUCAUGGCCCUUAUGGGUAGGGCUUCACACGUCAUACAAUGGUACAUACAGAGCGCCGCCAACCCGCGAGGGGGAGCUAAUCGCAGAAAGUGUAUCGUAGUCCGGAUUGUAGUCUGCAACUCGACUGCAUGAAGUUGGAAUCGCUAGUAAUCGCGGAUCAGCAUGUCGCGGUGAAUACGUUCCCGGGUCUUGUACACACCGCCCGUCACACCAUGGGAGCGGGUUUUACCAGAAAGUAGGUAGCUUAACCGUAAGGAGGGCGCU